AAGUCUCGGACAUUCGCUAAAACCGAUUCGUCGAUAUUAUUAUUUUAAUAACUUCCUGCGAUCAAUUUUAAUACAUUUUAGACCAGUGGUUUUCAACCGGUGUGCCGUGAACGUCUUUGAAGAGCGUGCAGCUUUAGAUAUCGGCUCUUUUCUCCUAUCAGCCUUUUUAUCAGUGCCGUAGCGCGACCGGCCUAUGAAAUUUAGGCGACUUUUUGU